rnacentral:rRNA from 1 species
GCACGGAGUUAGCCGGUGCUUCCUUUGGAGGUACCGUCACCCGCGAUUCAUCAUCGCGUAUUCGUUCCUCCCGACAGUGGUUUACAACCCGAAGGCCGUCAUCCCACACGCGGCGUCGCUGCGUCAGCCUUGCGGCCAUUGCGCAAGAUUCCCCACUGCUGCCUCCCGUAGGAGUCUGGGCCGUGUCUCAGUCCCAAUGUGGCUGGCCAUCCUCUCAGACCAGCUACCCGUCGUCGCCUUGGUGGGCCGUUACCCCGCCAACUAGCUGAUAGGCCGCGAGACCCUCCGCCGGCGCAACUUGCGUUGCUUUCAUCAUUCAGGGAUGCCCCUAAAUGAUCGUACGCGGUAUUAACCGGCCGUUGGGCCGACUAUCCCCCACCGAUGGACAGGUUUCUCACGUGUUACGCACCCGUCUGCCACUGAACUCGAGAGUUGCCCCCCGAGUCCCGUUCGACUUACAUGUGUUAGGCACGCCGCCAGCGUUCGUC